AACCAACAGCUGCAGUUGGUGAGAGGGAGGAAAGAAAGCGGUUCAGUGGAUCAAAUGAUGGAUGACUAUGUGGAGUCUCUUCUGUCACUUGGAAGGAGUAUCAGAUUUAUAUGCUCAAGUGGCAGGAGGCGAAGUGAAGAGCAGAUGAAGAAGGAGAAAGAGGAGACAGAAGAGACUCAAUUAUCUUCACCUGCUGGCUGGAUUGUUUCACCGACGUGAUGGACCUCUCGCCUCCCACUGAUGAACGGACUGUUUCCUCAGACAGGGAGAACAGCGAGACUUUAAAACGCUGCCUCUAUAUCUAGCACCAUCUUCUACUUCACCGAUCCACUCUCCAAAUGCACAGCGGGAGGAGAGAGGCGAGGAGAGGAAUAGAAAGGAAAGAUGGGGGAGAUAAUAAAGGAGAAAGAAUAGGAGAGAAAGUCAAAGAGCGGG
ensembl:lncRNA